UGGGGAAUAUUGCACAAUGGGCGGAAGCCUGAUGCAGCGACGCCGCGUGGGGGAUGAAGGCCUUCGGGUUGUAAACUCCUUUCGACAGGGACGAAGCUUUUGUGACGGUACCUGUAUAAGAAGCACCGGCUAACUACGUGCCAGCAGCCGCGGUAAUACGUAGGGUGCGAGCGUUGUCCGGAAUUACUGGGCGUAAAGAGCUCGUAGGUGGUUUGUCGCGUCGUCUGUGAAAUUCCGGGGCUUAACUCCGGGCGUGCAGGCGAUACGGGCUGACUUGAGUGCUGUAGGGGAGACUGGAAUUCCUGGUGUAGCGGUGAAAUGCGCAGAUAUCAGGAGGAACACCGAUGGCGAAGGCAGGUCUCUGGGCAGUAAUUGACGCUGAGGAGCGAAAGCAUGGGUAGCGAACAGG
rnacentral:rRNA from 1 species